CCCCGGCGGCGGCGGUCCGAUUAGAGAGCUCGAGGCGGUUGCCCAGGCCGGCAGCGUUAAUAGGCGAAGGAGGAGUCUGCAGCGAGUGUAUGUCAUCUUCUCGCAGCAAGGCGGCACUCCCAUCUGGCCUCCCUGGUGGCUCCGUCGGCUUCGCCGGAAAUUCAUCGGCUCAUGUUUCUACCCUCUCCCCCUUCUCGCUCCCGAUUCCUCCCGAGCUGCCCUCGAUUCAGCUUCCCGAAUCCCCACCUCCAGUAGCAUCUCGCGAGCUGGCUGCGAUUGAUUCAGCUUGCUCCAGUUGAAUCAUGCUGAAGCCUCCUCGAACUGUUUGCCCAUGGCAAGAGCGAUGGCGGCGCCGGAUUAGCCAUGAAAAUCGGCGACGCGGAUACUAGAAUCGGCGAGACGGCGAGGCUGUGUGUCGCCGGAUUUUCGGUAAAGACUAGAUGAUGUAACUUCUCCACCGGUAGUACCAACCAUCCUCUUCUCCACUGCUGUGUGAGAACCAAAUCCGGAGUAACUACAAUGAAGAAGAUGUGGAGAAGCUUGCGAGAAAGCUAGCUGAAGUGCAGCUUGAGAUCGACAAAUUGAAGGCAGAGACAAGAUGUUGCAUACAAAUCACAUAGAAGAUUUGAGAAAUAGGGAUAAGAAAGAAAUGGCUUUCCUCUGUGUAGUUGGUAGUUGUGCAAUGCUGUAUCCAUGUAUGUCUAUAAUGAGUGUUGUUUACCUGAAUAUAUUGUAAAUGCUUGUUAUCA